UUGGAUAAACCAUUAGCUGGUGCACCAGGACUUUCUCCAGAAUGAGCCUCCUUACCUCCUCCACUUCUCUGGAGGUCAAAAAGGUUACCACAGAACCGUGAGACCAAAACAGCUCGGUGAAGACAACUAGCAAUUAACGACUUCAGGGGUGAUAAGAGACAAGGCUGUAGGGACACACACACAUGGAUAGACUUUGGAAAGCCUAGAAUUGAUUUCACAUAAUGAGAGACAUAAUCCAGACUUAAUUAAAUAGAAAGUUAUUAAAAAGUCUGAUUAUACUCCAUACAACAGAAACAGUGCUGCCGCACGUAAACUUGGCAUGAAUGGAUCCAUGGUUCGGCGCUGGAGACGGCAGCGGGAUGAACUCAUUCAAGCCAGCUUCACCCGGGGAUGAUGACAGCAACACAGAGAGUGACACUGACAUCGCCACAGAAAAGUGAUCGUGGUGGACAGGAAAUCCUUCAGCCUGCUGCAGUUUCUGUGUUUGCUCUUCUCCUGAGCGGAACCUUUCUGCAGCGUCGUUUCUGUCUGCCAGCAGCCUGCCCCGUAUAUAAUCUCACUGUUUGUUGGUUCCCUGGACUCCUCGGUGAACAUUCAUCUGUCUGAGAUGCCUUCAGCUGUCAGAACAUUUCACCUGAAUCCUUAUUUAGUUUCUGCAGCGUGACAGUCUUCAUCCUCUGAGUUUGGGCUCUUCUCCGAAACUCCUAGUGACGUAACGAAUGUUGUGACGUAACUUAUAUGUUUUUGGGACACUUUUGGUCAAAAUGCAUCAAAACUACAACAUUUAUUCCUCCAUUGUAUUGGUUUACUGCUAUGUGAGCUGACUGUAGGAAACACUGAGCUGUAAUCAUAGCUGCAUACACAGAAGAUAGCUGGAUCUACACUUUAGAGAGAUCAAUGACAGAACAGAAAACCUUUAGACAGCAGGUCUGUUUUUCAUGUGUUGCAUUUGUUUCAUUCGCAGUUUGGCCGACAACGGUAGGCCG